CUCUGGACUCAGUCCAGGACUGAGAAUCACUGCUGAAGAAGUAACAGUUGGACUCAAACACAGUCCAACUCAGAGGACAACAACCACCUGCAGUUGAACCUGACAGAGAGAAACAGUUACCACAGAUGUGAAAUUCAGUCUGCAGAUGUGUAAAAUGACCUGGGCUCCAUAGUGUACGGCGUCUGGUUCACCCACUCCCAGCUCCCAGUCCUCCAGUCAGACAAACCGAUCCAGUAAAAGCGAGGCAUGCUCCUGCGGGUCACAAAGUCCUGGACAGAGAGAAGUAUAAAGAGAAUUGCGGGAUGAGAGGGCAGCAAGCAUGGGUUACACGGAGCAGAUGCACUGACACUGGAUGAAGACACGGCACGGGAGUCUGGGACACACGGGGAUUUAUUGGUGAAUUACUUCACCACCUUGUAAAUAAACACUGUCUAAACUGAAGAGUUUAACGUUUGGGUCCUACUUCAGAAAUAGAGAGGAAUUACUUUAAACCUUUAAAUCAGGUGGUUUUAAGGAAAACAAGGGAAACAAGAAAAUCCCUCCAAAUAUCUUAAUUUGACACAAAGGUACCGAAUCUACUCCACUAUAAAUAAGCAGUGCUUUAAUAUAAAUGUGUCAUUUUUAAUUUAAAUAUAUAAUGUUUCAAUAUCUAGUGUUAAAAAAAAAAAAAAAGACCUCUGGUGAGACACCAGCUCCACUCCUGGACUCAGAUCCAGGACUUACAUUUUGCAUUGGGUAGCUCAUUUAUAAAAACUGACCU